GUUCUACUGCGUUUGUUUCUGUUGGAGGGGACUGUGGGGACCAGGAGAGGAUCCAUCUCCACGUGUCACCGUUACUUCUCUGGUCAAGCAACAGGUUAUCUAAAAAGAAAACGGAGAGGAGACUAGUGGCUACGGUAAACACUGAAGGAAGGACUCAGCUCUGGACCCCAGGAGUUUUUGUUUCUGAGCCGCACAGCAGAAGACGCAGACGGGAUGGCUGGAUGCAGAGAGAUCCCGGGGCAGAGCCUGCGAAGGACCAGCGAGAGGCUGAACGUGUGCGCUGAAGGUGGAUGGCAAGGGCUGUGCUCACCAGAAGGCAGAGAGUGAGGGGGUGAGAAGCACAACAUUUUAUUCACAGGGCAUACAGCUCUUCCUCCCAAUUUCACAAAACAGAUCUUCAAGUUCUAUAUUACUUUUUCUCUGCAUUUCUAUUAGGUUUCAAGGAAAUCAUAACAUUUUUUUCAUAAAGUUACUGAAAUUAAAAUGAGCACUAAAUUCACAAUUUUAAUACAUUGUCAUAAAAUGAAAUCAGAUUUAGCUAACUUCAGAAGUUUAAUACAUUGUCAUAUAGUGAAAUCAAAUUUAUCUUUGGGGUAUACAACAUUUCGCAAAUGAGCUACUGUAAAAAUAUUAGGCACUAAUCAAUUACAUGAUGGAACCAAAUUAAUACCAUCAUAUCCGAGGGUAUUAAUAUAAAGCAAAAUUUGCUUCCUAAUUAGUUUUAAAUGACGUUUAUAAUUUAAUGAGACAAAAUGAAAAUAGUUUAAGUAAUAAAUGUUUAAUCAAAGAAUUUUACAUAUUAUUAACAGCAUUCAUUUGGCCAAACAUCUACAGGUCUGUAGAAUCCUACUGUAUAUAAAGUGGGAAUGUAUCAAGUAUAGACUAUGAAAGUGCAAAUAACAAGUCAAGGUUAGAUUAACUUUCUUUUUUUACAUUAUAAAAUUAACUUGUUUACAAAAUAGGCUUUGCCAGACUUUAUUACUGAAUUGGAAAGUCAAUGACGGUGUUGUUUUUAAAAUGUACCAAGGAAAUACAAACUGAUAACAACAGUUUUUCACACUCAGGAACCCAGCACAUCACAACAGGCACUGCACAAAGCCAGGGAACAGGAG